GGGGCUGACUUGGAUUUCGACAGAUUUCUUGUCGCACAGAUAGCAUGCCAAGCGCUGCUUGUAAAACAGCAACAAAAAUAACUGUAAACAACACAGAUUACGCUCCAGCUUACGCUAAAGCUGCGUGAGUUAAUCUCCUUUUGGAGCUGGACUGAUUAGAAUUUCUAGCGUUUUAAUCACUCCAUAACCUUAAGCUAGACGCUUUUAAAAGGUGGUUCGCCUUUUAAACUAAGAAACAAGAACUCUUGAAACUACCUCAAGGUUUUAGAAAGUUGGACCAGAGCUAGUUUUAAGGCUAAAAAACUAACCAAUUUUCUAAGCAUUGUAGAAGUUUGUGUUUAGGGCAAGAUUUUUGGACUGGGGUUCGAUUCCCCACAGCUCCACCA
rnacentral:tmRNA from 1 species